GUAGGUGGCGAGCGUUACUUCGGAAUUACUAGGUGUAAAGCGCUUGCAGGUGGUUGGAUAAGUCUGUGGUUAAAUUUCCCGGCUCAACCGGGAACCGUCCAUAGAUACUAUCUGGCUUGAGUGUGGCAGGGGGCAACGGAAAUUCCAGGUGUAGCGGUGAAAUGCGUAGAUAUCUGGAGGAACACCGAUGGCGAAAGCGAGUUGCCUGGGCCAAUACUGACACUGAGGAGCGAAAGCUAGGGGAGCAAACAGGAUUAGAUACCCUGGUAGUCCUAGCUGUAAACGAUGUUCACUAGAUGUGGGAGGUAUUCGACCCCUUCCGCGUCGACGCUAACGCAUUAGUGAACCACCUGGGAGUACGGCCGCAAAG
rnacentral:rRNA from 1 species